GCGGAAGUGGCGGAAUUGGUAGACGCCCUGGAUUUAGGUUCCAGUGCCGCAAGGCAUGGGGGUUCGAGUCCCCCCUUCCGCACCA
rnacentral:tRNA from 2 species